AGACUUUGAUCCUGGCUCAGGAUGAACACUGGCGGUAUGCUUAACACAUGCAAGUCGAACGGUCUCUUCGGAGAUAGUGGCGGACGGGUGAGUAACGCGUGAGAAUCUGGCUUCAGGUCGGGGACAACCACGGGAAACUGUGGCUAAUACCGGAUAUGCCGAGAGGUGAAAGGCUAGCUGCCUGAAGAUGAGCUCGCGUCUGAUUAGCUAGUAGGUGUGGUAAGAGCGCACCUAGGCGACGAUCAGUAGCUGGUCUGAGAGGAUGAUCAGCCACACUGGGACUGAGACACGGCCCAGACUCCUACGGGAGGCAGCAGUGGGGAAUUUUCCGCAAUGGGCGAAAGCCUGACGGAGCAAUACCGCGUGAGGGAGGAAGGCUCUUGGGUUGUAAACCUCUUUUCUCAAGGAAGAAAAAAAUGACGGUACUUGAGGAAUAAGCAUCGGCUACAUCCGU
rnacentral:rRNA from 1 species